GUCUAUGGCCAUACCACCCUGAGCACACCCGAUGUCAUCUGAUCUCAGAAUCUAAGCAGGGUCAGACCUGGUUAGUACUUGGAUGGGAGAAAGGACUGUUAAAAAUAGUGAAGUGUCAGGGCACCAGGCC
rnacentral:rRNA from 1 species